CCUACGGGAGGCUGCAGUGAGGAAUAUUGGUCAAUGGGCGCGAGCCUGAACCAGCCAAGUAGCGUGAAGGAUGACUGCCCUACGGGUUGUAAACUUCUUUUAUAAAGGAGUUAAGUGAGGCACGUGUGCCUUUUUGUAUGUAUUUUAUGAAUACGGAUCGGCUAACUCCUUGCCAGCAGCCGCGGUAAUACGGAUGAUCCGAGCGUUAUCCGGAUUUAUUGGGUUUGAAGGGAGCGUAGAUGGGUAUUUAAGUCAGUUCGGAAAGUUUGCGGCUCAACCGUAAAAUUGCAAUUGAUACUGGUAGAUGUGAGUACAGUUGAGGGAGGCGGAAUUCGUGGGGUAGCGGUGAAAUGCUUAGAUAUCAAGAAGAACUCCGAUUGCGAAGGCAGCCUACUAAACUGGCAAUGACAGUGAUGCUCGAAAGUGGGGGUAUCAAAAAGGAUUAGAUAACCCGAGUAGUC
rnacentral:rRNA from 1 species